rnacentral:sRNA from 1 species
GAUAGGGGUUCUUCUGCUAAGAGCGCAAACGUCCUGUUUGCAACGCAGAAGUCAGCACGUCCUGUGCA